rnacentral:misc_RNA from 1 species
UUUCCGUAGGUGAGCCUGCGGAAGGAUCAUUCACAAUCAGUGUUUUAUGUCACUUUUUACACAAUCCAUUUCCACCUUGUGUGCAACGUUAUGAGACCCUCGAUCGUUCUCUUUUAGGUUACGGAAGGGGGAACCUCUACACCUUACCAACAUCACCUUUAACUUAUUUGUAUGAACAUUUGUUAUCACGCAUUAACUUAAAUCGAAAAUACAACUUUCAACAACGGAUCUCUUGGCUCUC